rnacentral:rRNA from 1 species
UACGUAGGCAGCGAGCGUUGUUCGGAGUUACUGGGCGUAAAGAAUGCGUAGGCGGUUUUCUAAGUUUGGUGUGAAAUCUCCCGGCUCAACUGGGAGGGUGCGCCGAAGACUGGAAGGCUUGAGUAUGGGAGAGGUAAGCGGAAUUCCUGGUGUAGCGGUGAAAUGCGUAGAUAUCAGGAGGAACACCUGCGGUGUAGACGGCUUACUGGACCAUAACUGACGCUGAGGCACGAAAGCGUGGGUAGCAAACAGG